AUCCGGGAGACACACGGUGGGUGCUAACGUCCAUCGUGGAGAGGGAAACAACCCAGACCGUCAGCUAAGGUCCCAAAGUGUAUGUUAAGUGGGAAACGAUGUGGGAAGGCUAAAACAGCUAGGAGGUUGGCUUAGAAGCAGCCAUCCUUUAAAGAAAGCGUAAUAGCUCACUAGUCGAGUCGGCCUGCGCGGAAGAUGUAACGGGGCUAAACAUACCACCGAAGCUACGGCUGCAUACUUUGUAUGCGGGGUAGGGGAGCGUCUGUAAGCGGCUGAAGCUCAAUUGUAAAGUUGGGUGGACGUAUCAGAAGUGCGAAUGCUGACAUGAGUAACGAUAAUGCGGGUGAAAAACCCGCACGCCGGAAGACCAAGGGUUCCUAUCCCAUGUUAAUCAGGGUAGGGUAAGUCGACCCCUAAGGCGAGGCUGAAGAGCGUAGUCGAUGGGAAACGGGUUAAUAUUCCCGUACUUGGAAUAAUUGCGAUGGGGGGACGGAGCAGGCUAAUCAAGCAUGGCGAUGGUUGUCCAUGUGAAAGGCUGUAGGCUGGUGACUUAGGAAAAUCCGGGUCGCUAAGGCUGAGAGUCGAGACGAGCUACCAC
rnacentral:rRNA from 1 species